rnacentral:rRNA from 1 species
UACGAGAGGUCCAAACGUUAUUCGGAUUUACUGGGCUUAAAGAGUUCGUAGGCGGUCCAUCAAGUGGGGUGUGAAAUCCCUCGGCUCAACCGAGGAAUUGCGCUCCAAACUGUUGGGCUCGAGGGAGAUAGAGGUGAGCGGAACUGAUGGUGGGGCGGUGAAAUGCGUUGAUAUCAUCAGGAACACCAGAGGCGAAGGCGGCUCACUGGGUCUCUUCUGACGCUGAGGAACGAAAGCUAGGGGAGCAAACGGG